rnacentral:rRNA from 1 species
GAUGAACGCUGGCGGCGUGCCUAAUACAUGCAAGUCGAGCGAACAGACGAGGAGCUUGCUCCUCUGAUGUUAGCGGCGGACGGGUGAGUAACACGUGGAUAACCUACCUAUAAGACUGGGAUAACUUCGGGAAACCGGAGCUAAUACCGGAUAAUAUAUUGAACCGCAUGGUUCAAUAGUGAAAGACGGUCUUGCUGUCACUUAUAGAUGGAUCCGCGCUGCAUUAGCUAGUUGGUAAGGUAACGGCUUACCAAGGCAACGAUGCAUAGCCGACCUGAGAGGGUGAUCGGCCACACUGGAACUGAGACACGGUCCAGACUCCUACGGGAGGCAGCAGUAGGGAAUCUUCCGCAAUGGGCGAAAGCCUGACGGAGCAACGCCGCGUGAGUGAUGAAGGUCUUCGGAUCGUAAAACUCUGUUAUUAGGGGAGAACAAAUGUGUAAGUAACUGUGCACAUCUUGACGGUACCUAAUCAGAAAGCCACGGCUAACUACGUG